GACGGCUAGACGCUGACAGUUGUUCGUGAUCACUAAGGCGAACUUCAACGUUUUCCACUAUAAAUAUCACAAAGUUUUUCUAGCCUUCGAUCUGGCCAAGACGUAGUGCCGAUCACGUGGCGUGAAACUGCUGACCAUGUUACCGAAAUAUCUUGCUUCGAUGCUUCCUGUACGUCUCUCUCUAUGCAGAGAAGGUUAUUAAAAAAGAUGAUUUGAAGCAAGAACUUCAGGUUCGGCAGAAGGCCAUUCACGAGACACCGGACAACGAAAAGCAAGAGAAAGCCGUUGUAGACGAAAACGAAAAAUCGGAUCCGACGAAAUCGCCGCUGGCCUACCCUGCGAGCAAUAACAACAACAAACUGCCCUCCAGCGUGCCCCUCAAACCAUUGGCAGUGACCGACACGGGAAUCACUCAGGCAGCCCGGCAUUCCGCCUUGAACAUUGUUGGAGAUUUGCUUCGACGAGUUGGGUGUUUAAGGCAGCAGCUCAGCAACGUCCAAAAUCCAUCACCUGGAGUUUACUACCCACUCUUUCCCAGGCGUUAGAGAACAAAUUAUCAACGUGCCGGACUAUGGUGAAGGAGGGCAACGGGACGGUCAAGGAAGCUACUAGGUCACGAUGCAAUCUCUCUCUUCUCUCUCUAUCCACUGACCUUAAACUCCUAUACCAUGGUGUGUUUUUGUUCAACAAAUCGUUCUUGAUUAGAAUUUACUUCGGACAAUUAGUCCACCUUAUUUAAUUCAUAUCUAUGGUGAGCCG